UGAGCAUGCUUUCGCAGAAUCGCACCAGCGGGAAGGACGUAAACCUGCUGAUGAAUACGAACACUGGCAAUCAGUACAUACGCAGCAGCAAGCUAUCGUUCAGCAGCUUCAGCAACAUCACCAGAACAACAUGAAGGACAACAUCGACUUUGAUUUCAAAGAUCGAAGUGUUGAAUGCAAGAAUUCGACGGAAAACUUGGAGAAGGACAUCAGCAAAGGCAUGGGCACGCUGCAGAAGACUCCACAGUUGAAGACAUUCAAGCCUUAGAUGAUACAGAAAUAGUUGAUGAGAGUGUGUGAUUGGAAAACCAAGUGCUGCCACCGAGUUUUGUCAAUACAUGUUACAUGUAGGUAAAAAAGCGUAUGACAACUGAAAGACCGUUCAGGGCAGCGAUAAAGAAUAGAAACCUCUGUGAGAGACUGUGUGCCUAGCACAACUCAUCCCCAACCAGCAAGCGUACAACAUUUGGUUCAAGUAGAGGCCUUAUAUAGAAACUUGUGCCCAUCAUUUAGCUCUGAAAGAUAAGCAGGGAAUACGAAACAUUAUAAUCGAACAAAAUUCAUAGGCAAAUCAUAUAUCCCUGGCUAAAGAUAUCUAGAAGCAAAGAGGCUAUCAACUUACUACAUUCUAGA